rnacentral:other from 1 species
CUAUCCCUGCUGUGCCCGUGAUGGAUUGAUGAUGUUUGAGCCAACAGUCCUUUGAAUGGGAGCCCGAUUUUCCGUGCGGUGUGCACGCUGCGGUCAUGGGGCCGCAGAAGCCUGAUGUACGGAUAGGGUGACCACCUGUAAGACAGGUUCAAACGGACAUCCACACGGCACAGCGGGGUCCA